rnacentral:lncRNA from 1 species
UUGGUUUGGGUUUAAAUUAAUAGGUAUGAGUGUUUUUUCUAGCUCUAAGUAGAAAGUUGAUAAAAAUUCACAUAUGCACCAUGAUUAUAAAAUACAAAUAUUAACUGGAAUUUAUGUGCAAAAACGAGUUCUUAAUUAUAAAAGUCUCAUACAACAUAUGCAAAAACAAUCCUAAAAGUAUAAUAAAAUGAUUUAUUACUUUUAUUUCUUUAUUAAAUUAAAACAUCGGGAAAAUCGCAUAAAAAACCUUGAAAGUGUCACUUACUAGCACUUUAAACCUUGAAGUUUUUUCACUAACACUUUUAACCUUCAAAGUGACAUUUUUAUCAUAAAAAACCUCUAAAGAAGAAAAAUGACCUGCUGAACAGGUUAAAAACAGUUUUUUUUUUCAAAAAAUAAUUAUUUAAUUAAUAAAUAAACAAAAAUUAUAAUAAAAUCAAAAAAUUUAACAAAAAACUCAUAAAUUAAAAAAAAGUGAGAAAAAUAAAUAAAGAUUUAGAAAAUUAAAUAAAAAAUAACUAAAAAUUAAAAAAUAAAUAAGAUGAAAUUAAAAUACAGAAAAAAUAAUAAUAAAUUUCAAAAAAUUGAAAAUUCAAAAAGUUUUUUUUUUCAUUUUCAAAUAUAAUGUCGGAAAUUAUCAUUGGAGAUAUGUGUUGAUAAAAAAAAGACUAAGAUAACACCAAACCAAGUUUUUGUUCUCAAACUAGUAUUCAAGGUUCAAAGUCACAAAAAUAAGUUUCAUUAAAGAGGUAAAUAUACACUUAUACCCCUUGGGUUAAUUAAUCCAAACUUUAGGGUUUAGAGUUAAGGGGUGAGGUUUUGGAAUUAGGGUUUAAAAUUUUAUAAAAUAAAAAAUAAAUACUAAAAAAUUAAAAAUAAAAAUUUAAAAAACAGUUUCAAAAAAUUUCACUUUUUUUUUUAAAUUUAUGUUUUUUUUAUUUUUCUCCAUUUUAAUUUGAUCUUAUUUAUUUUUUGAAUUUUUUUGUUAUUUUUUAUUUUAAUUUUUAAAUAUUUAUUUAUUUUUCUCAUUUUUUAAUUUGUGAGUUUUUUGUUAAAUUUUUUCGAUUUUUAGUAAUUUUUUUGUUUAUUUUAUUAAUUAAAUAAUUAUUUUUUGAAAAAAAAACUGUUUUAACCUGUUCAACAGGUCAUUUUUCUUGUUUGGAGGUUUUUUAUGAUAAAAAUGUCACUUUGAAGGUUAAAAGUGCUAGCGAAAAAACUUCAAGGUUUAAAGUGCUAGUAAGUGACACUUUCAAGGUUUUUUAUGCGAUUUUCCCUUAAAACAUCAAACAAAACUGUUGCAACGCACGGGCUUAUAUCUAGUUUGUAUAUAUUUUCAAGUACUUAAAGCAACUUAAAAGGAUCAUAUAUAUUCUUGAUGUUUUUAUAUACAUUAAAUUUAAAAAUAAUUAAUAUAUAUAGUAUAUAAAUCUAUUUCGGUUACAUUCGGAUACCUAAAAUACUUCGGUUUAGAUUGGAUUAGAUUUCACUUCUCUAAAUAACAAUAUUUUGAAUAAUUCGAAUAUUUAAUCUAUUUUGGUUUGAGUUUGGUACUACUUUUUCGGAUUGGGAUCAGUUUGGCUUUUCGAAUUCGGAUAUUUUGUCUAAUCCUAAAUAGUAA